rnacentral:rRNA from 1 species
AGGCAUCUGAGUAAUUAAUCUUCGGAGGUAUAAGAGUGGGCAUGCGUAGCUAUUAGCUAGAUGGUGCGGUAACGGCGUACCAUGGCGACGAUGCGUUAGGGGUUCUGAGAGGAAGGUCCCCCACACUGGUACUGAGAUACGGACCAGACUCCUACGGGAGGCAGCAGUGAGGAAUAUUGGUCAAUGGUCGGAAGACUGAACCAGCCAUGCCGCGUGCAGGAAGAAUGUCUUAUGGAUUGUAAACUGCUUUUGUAUGGGAAUAAUAAUAGCUUUGCGAAGUUAGAUGCAUGUACCAUACGAAUAAGGAUCGGCUAACUCCGUG